GGUACAGUGUAAUCAUUCUACAGUGCCAACCAUCACUGCUUUAUGUAACACAUGGCUGGGAACAUCGCUCCUGUUGGUUUAAUUGACUCACUGGAGAAGAAACAGGCAAACACAAGCUGAUAACAUGAACCACAUCUACAUCGGUGGUGGCGCAUGCAGGAAACUCCCUGACCUCUUCCAGGAAGGCUUCCCAGAUCUGCUGUGAAGAUAGUAGGGUGGCAGAUGCAGGGAGAGGCUAUGGGCCUCUGCUCCACUCCCCUGCUUAUCUGUGACACAGGAUGAUGCCACAGCUCCAGCCUCUUCCCAUUCCCUUAACCACCUCCCACUCCUAACCUAUCCCUAAAGAAACUUCUGAGCUCUCCACAAGAAAAGAUCUACAGGAAAAAGGACACUGGGGAGAUCUGCUACCAGAUUGCUGGAAAACACUGCUGGGAUUGCUAGGAUAAAUCUCUCACUGCAGAAAUGCUGUGGCAGACCUCUGAACCUGCUUGAAAAGCUUUGCACAGAUCCCAGAACUCUGCUGUGAAAAGAUUCAGUUUUUAAGAGACAGGAUUUCUCAUCUGGUCAAAGGUCUUCAUAAAAAGCUUCUGAUCAGUUGUGGAAAAGAAAAUACUCAUUAAGAGAAAUUAUAAGUUAGUCAACACCUAACAAAGAUAUGUGGAAAAGAAAUGCAAGGUCGCUGAAUGCAUUCAUCCAGAGAGAGAACAGACCUUGAAAGGGAGCAGUUCUGCUGUUGCACCAUAGCAGCUCUCAUAGGACUCAAAAGGACCCACAUUUGUGAAGAUUGACUGAGCAAAAUUUCUUCUCUGUUAUUGUGCAUUUGCCUGUGAAAGACCAUCUUCUGAAAGGUUCUACAGUCUCUCUCCAAACUUCUUUGUUGUACACCUGGAAAUGCUUAGUGCAUAACUUCUGGAAGCUCAGUGCCAUCUGUAACUGAUAUACAAGCACCAAAGGCUUGUGAUAAGGCUCUAGAUCCAUUUUGGCAGUCCAUUUUGGCAGUCACUCUCAACUUAUGGUAUCAAGACUGGCUGCAGACUGAAGAGAUACCACAAGUGCGUAAGACAUAAUGCACAGUUCAGGAUACCUGUGAAAUGAGCACAAUUAUUUUGAAGGCACCCUCAUCAGCCACCUAGUGCACAGGAUCAAUGCUUCAGUGAACUCCCUCAACUCUACCUUCCUACUGCCAGAACAUCCCAGGAUUUGGAAUUGGAAUGAUUUUCACUAGCUUGCCUAGCAAAGACCAGAUCACAGUCAUUUGCACCAUGCGAAUCUGAUCUUCAGGUGCAGAGGUUCUUCAUCAUCAAUGGCCUUCCUCUCAGAUGAGAUUGGUCCUGGUGAAAGGGUGGAGUGGAAGAGGAGAUGACUCUUAUAUGUAUAUGUAACCAAUGCAGGACUUCUCUGCUAAACCUGCUCAGAAUGUGCACUCUCCCCAGCUGUGCACAUCCUCUGCUAAAACCAAACCAAUGGACCCAUUUGCCACAGACCAAGUAAUCCCUCUCAUGAAACAAUGAUUUCAGCCUGUAUCAAAAUGAUGCAGUUCAGAAACUUGGUAGGAAAUGUUGCAGUUCAGUUAUCAGACUCCAAACUGUUCUGUAAUCAGGUGGAUCAUCGCUGAAGUCACAGAUGGUAUUUUGUAUUCAUAUGUGUCAAAUACUUGAAAACAGCUACUAUAUACGUUAGGCUCCCUGAACUGCAUCUCUACCACUGAAAUGAGAAUGUGACCACAGAUUUAUCUAACAGUGCUGGAUUGUCACUUGGAAAUAAAACUGUAAAGGAUUGAUUUGCCUGAACAGAACUGAACCAAAACUGUGUUGGGAAAAGAUAAUUUCAGUAAAAUCGAAA